UGCAGAGUUUAAGUGCAUUACUAGAAGUUCAAUUUCGCUCAAAACAUAAUCAAGAAAUGAGAACAAAAAAAGGUAAUUACAUAAGAUUCUGUCUUUGAACCAUUUUCACUUCCAGCACACAUCAGGUCCUCUGUUAUUGGAUAGUUGUAGUUGUAGCUGCAGAUGUAAAUGUUACAUUUUUACUGCACUCAUGAAAAUUGGUCAGAAAGAUAAAACGUCUUUGAAUAAAAUGUGACUA